UACGAAGGGGGCUAGCGUUGUUCGGAAUUACUGGGCGUAAAGCGCACGUAGGCGGAUUGUUAAGUUAGGGGUGAAAUCCCGGGGCUCAACCCCGGAACUGCCUUUAAUACUGGCAAUCUCGAAGUCCGAGAGAGGUGAGUGGAAAUUCCGAGUGUAGAGGUGAAAAUUCGUAGAUAUUCGGAGGAACACCAGUGGCGAAGGCGGCUCACUGGCUCG
rnacentral:rRNA from 1 species